ACCGAUAGUGAACCAGUACCGUGAGGGAAAGGCGAAAAGAACCCCGGCGAGGGGAGUGAAAAAGAACCUGAAACCGUGUACGUACAAGCAGUGGGAGCACAGAGCAAUCUGUGUGACUGCGUACCUUUUGUAUAAUGGGUCAGCGACUUAUAUUCUGUAGCAAGGUUAACCGAAUAGGGGAGCCGAAGGGAAACCGAGUCUUAACUGGGCGUUAAGUUGCAGGGUAUAGACCCGAAACCCGGUGAUCUAGCCAUGGGCAGGUUGAAGGUUGGGUAACACUAACUGGAGGACCGAACCGACUAAUGUUGAAAAAUUAGCGGAUGACUUGUGGCUGGGGGUGAAAGGCCAAUCAAACCGGGAGAUAGCUGGUUCUCCCCGAAAGCUAUUUAGGUAGCGCCUCGUGAAUUCAUCUCCGGGGGUAGAGCACUGUUUCGGCAAGGGGGUCAUCCCGACUUACCAACCCGAUGCAAACUGCGAAUACCGGAGAAUGUUAUCACGGGAGACACACGGCGGGUGCUAACGUCCGUCGUGAAGAGGGAAACAACCCAGACCGCCAGCUAAGGUCCCAAAGUCAUGGUUAAGUGGGAAACGAUGUGGGAAGGCCCAGACAGCCAGGAUGUUGGCUUAGAAGCAGCCAUCAUUUAAAGAAAGCGUAAUAGCUCACUGGUCGAGUCGGCCUGCGCGGAAGAUGUAACGGGGCUAAACCAUGCACCGAAGCUGCGGCAGCGACGCUGAUGCGUUGUUGGGUAGGGGAGCGUUCUGUAAGCCUGUGAAGGUGUGCUGUGAGGCAUGCUGGAGGUAUCAGAAGUGCGAAUGCUGACAUAAGUAACGAUAAAGCGGGUGAAAAGCCCGCUCGCCGGAAGACCAAGGGUUCCUGUCCAACGUUAAUCGGGGCAGGGUGAGUCGACCCCUAAGGCGAGGCCGAAAGGCGUAGUCGAUGGGAAACAGGUUAAUAUUCCUGUACUUGGUGUUACUGCGAAGGGGGGACGGAGAAGGCUAUGUUGGCCGGGCGACGGUUGUCCCGGUUUAAGCGUGUAGGCUGGUUUUCCAGGCAAAUCCGGAAAACUAAGGCUGAGGCGUGAUGACGAGGCACUACGGUGCUGAAGCAACAAAUGCCCUGCUUCCAGGAAAAGCCUCUAAGCAUCAGGUAACAUCAAAUCGUACCCCAAACCGACACAGGUGGUCAGGUAGAGAAUACCAAGGCGCUUGAGAGAACUCGGGUGAAGGAACUAGGCAAAAUGGUGCCGUAACUUCGGGAGAAGGCACGCUGAUAUGUAGGUGAAGUCCCUCGCGGAUGGAGCUGAAAUCAGUCGAAGAUACCAGCUGGCUGCAACUGUUUAUUAAAAACACAGCACUGUGCAAACACGAAAGUGGACGUAUACGGUGUGACGCCUGCCCGGUGCCGGAAGGUUAAUUGAUGGGGUCAGCGCAAGCGAAGCUCUUGAUCGAAGCCCCGGUAAACGGCGGCCGUAACUAUAACGGUCCUAAGGUAGCGAAAUUCCUUGUCGGGUAAGUUCCGACCUGCACGAAUGGCGUAAUGAUGGCCAGGCUGUCUCCACCCGAGACUCAGUGAAAUUGAACUCGCUGUGAAGAUGCAGUGUACCCGCGGCAAGACGGAAAGACCCCGUGAACCUUUACUAUAGCUUGACACUGAACAUUGAGCCUUGAUGUGUAGGAUAGGUGGGAGGCUUUGAAGUGUGGACGCCAGUCUGCAUGGAGCCGACCUUGAAAUACCACCCUUUAAUGUUUGAUGUUCUAACGUUGACCCGUAAUCCGGGUUGCGGACAGUGUCUGGUGGGUAGUUUGACUGGGGCGGUCUCCUCCUAAAGAGUAACGGAGGAGCACGAAGGUUGGCUAAUCCUGGUCGGACAUCAGGAGGUUAGUGCAAUGGCAUAAGCCAGCUUGACUGCGAGCGUGACGGCGCGAGCAGGUGCGAAAGCAGGUCAUAGUGAUCCGGUGGUUCUGAAUGGAAGGGCCAUCGCUCAACGGAUAAAAGGUACUCCGGGGAUAACAGGCUGAUACCGCCCAAGAGUUCAUAUCGACGGCGGUGUUUGGCACCUCGAUGUCGGCUCAUCACAUCCUGGGGCUGAAGUAGGUCCCAAGGGUAUGGCUGUUCGCCAUUUAAAGUGGUACGCGAGCUGGGUUUAGAACGUCGUGAGACAGUUCGGUCCCUAUCUGCCGUGGGCGCUGGAGAACUGAGGGGGGCUGCUCCUAGUACGAGAGGACCGGAGUGGACGCAUCACUGGUGUUCGGGUUGUCAUGCCAAUGGCACUGCCCGGUAGCUAAAUGCGGAAGAGAUAAGUGCUGAAAGCAUCUAAGCACGAAACUUGCCCCGAGAUGAGUUCUCCCUGACUCCUUGAGAGUCCUGAAGGAACGUUGAAG
rnacentral:rRNA from 1 species